UUUUUCGCGACUGACGGAUUUUUUGGUGGAGCAACCACCGGGAAGCGAAAAAUUGUAGCCGGUUUCCGCCGGUUUGCCGACCGUCUGGGCAAUCC
rnacentral:ncRNA from 1 species